AGAGGUCCUGCGCCGAAAAUGUCCGGGGCUGAAACACGACACCGAAGCUUAGGAAUCACAUAGUGAUUGGUAGAGGAGCAUUCUUAAAACCGACGAAGCUGUACCGGAAGGAGCAGUGGAGGGAUAAGAAGAGAGAAUGCCGGAAUGAGUAGCGAGAGGAAGGUGGGAAUCCUUCCGGCCGAAUAUCUAAGGUUUCCAGAGUAAAGCUGAUCUGCUCUGGGUAAGUCGGGGCCUAAGGAGAGGUCGAAAGACGUAUCCGAUGGACAACAGGUUUAGAUUCCUGUACCACAUAUAAACAGAACUGUGGGGACGCAUGUGGAAAGCAUAAGCCGGGAAUGGAAAUACCGGUACAAACGGAAGAGGUGUCAGGCUGGCAAAUCCGCCUGGCAAGCCAAAGACGUGAUGUGGAGCGAAAUAAAAGUAGCGAAGUAUGUGAGCCAUGUGCCGAGAAAAGCCGCUAUUGUUUUAUAUGUGCCCGUACCGUAAACCGACACAGGUGGAUGAGGAGAGAAUCCUAAGGCCGACGGAAGAAGCAUUGUUAAGGAACUCGGCAAAAUGACCCCGUAACUUCGGGAGAAGGGGUGCCCACUUCAGGGUGGGCCGCAGAGAAUAGGCUCAAGCAACUGUUUAGCAAAAACACAGGUCUAUGCGAAACCGAAAGGUGAAGUAUAUGGGCUGACGCCUGCCCGGUGCUGGAAGGUUAAGAGGAGAGGUUAGCGCAAGCGAAGCUUUGAAUUUAAGCCCCAGUAAACGGCGGCCGUAACUAUAACGGUCCUAAGGUAGCGAAAUUCCUUGUCGGGUAAGUUCCGACCCGCACGAAAGGCGUAAUGAUUUGAGCACUGUCUCGACAAUGCAUCCGGUGAAAUUGAAGUACCAGUGAAGAUGCUGGUUACCCGCGCCAGGACGGAAAGACCCCAUGGAGCUUUACUCCAGUUUGGUACUGGGAUUCGGUACUGCAUGUACAGGAUAGGUGGGAGACUGAGAAAUUGGAACGCCAGUUUCAAUGGAGUCACUGUUGGGAUACCACCCCUGCAGUAUUGGGUUUCUAACCAGCCGCUGUGAUCCAGCGGUGGGACAAUGCCAGGCGGGGAGUUUGACUGGGGCGGUCGCCUCCGAAAGGGUAUCGGAGGCGCUCAAAGGUUCCCUCAGAAUGGUUGGAAACCAUUCGAAGAGUGCAAAGGCAGAAGGGAGCUUGACUGCGACACCGACGGGUGGAGCAGGUACGAAAGUAGGACUUAGUGAUCCGGUGGUAUAAAGUGGGAUUGCCAUCGCUCAACGGAUAAAAGCUACCCUGGGGAUAACAGGCUUAUCACUCCCAAGAGUUCACAUCGACGGAGUGGUUUGGCACCUCGAUGUCGGCUCAUCGCAUCCUGGGGCUGUAGCAGGUCCCAAGGGUUGGGCUGUUCGCCCAUUAAAGCGGUACGCGAGCUGGGUUCAGAACGUCGUGAGACAGUUCGGUCCCUAUCCGGCGCGGGCGGAGGAUAUUUGAGAGGAGCUGUCCUUAGUACGAGAGGACCGGGAUGGACGGACCACUGGUGUAUCUGCUGUCGACCAACGGCAUGGCAGAGUAGCCAAGUCCGGAAGGGAUAAACGCUGAAGGCAUCUAAGCGUGAAGCCCCCCUCAAGAUGAGAUAUCCCUCACAUAAGUGAGUAAGAUCCCUUGAAGAGUACAAGGUAGAUAGGGCAGAGGUGGAAGCACGGUAACGUGUGGAGCUGACUGUUACUAAUCGAUCGAGGGCUUGACCAA
rnacentral:rRNA from 1 species